rnacentral:antisense_RNA from 1 species
UCGGCGUCCGGCGCCAGCAGUGCGGCGUCGCCGGCCGCGUCACCGCCGGCGAGGACCGCGGUCACCGUGUCGUCGCCGUACUUGCCGGUGCCGAUCCGUUCGACCUUGCCGUGCGCGAUCAGGAUGACCUGGUCGGUGGUGGUGCCCUUGGUGGCGAGGACGUCGCCGGGGGCGACGUCCCGCUGGGUGAACCGGCCGGCGAGCUCCUGGAGCGUGGGGUCGUCGGUGAAGCCGCGCAGCGGCGCCAGUUCGCGCAACUCCUGCGGAAUGACGCGGACCUCGGAGCCCUCGGUGACGAACUCGACCUCGCCGUCGCCCAGGGUGUGGGUCAGGCGACGGUUGACGCGGUAGGUGCCGCCGGAGACCUGCGUCCACGGCAGGAUCCGCAGCAGCCACCGCGAAGAGAUCCCCUGCAUCUGCGGCGGGGUCUUGGUCGUGGUCGCCAGAUUGCGGGCGGCCGCGGUGUCCAGGCUGGACCGGUGCUCCUCGG